UGCUCUCUGGGUGACGAGCGGCGGACGGGUGAGUAAUGUCUGGGAAACUGCCUGAUGGAGGGGGAUAACUACUGGAAACGGUAGCUAAUACCGCAUGACGUCUUCGGACCAAAGUGGGGGACCUUCGGGCCUCACGCCAUCAGAUGUGCCCAGAUGGGAUUAGCUAGUAGGUGGGGUAACGGCUCACCUAGGCGACGAUCUCUAGCUGGUCUGAGAGGAUGACCAGCCACACUGGAACUGAGACACGGUCCAGACUCCUACGGGAGGCAGCAGUGGGGAAUAUUGCACAAUGGGCGCAAGCCUGAUGCAGCCAUGCCGCGUGUAUGAAGAAGGCCUUCGGGUUGUAAAGUACUUUCAGCGAGGAGGAAGGCAUUGUGGUUAAUAACCGCAGUGAUUGACGUUACUCGCAGAAGAAGCACCGGCUAACUCCGUGCCAGCAGCCGCGGUAAUACGGAGGGUGCAAGCGUUAAUCGGAAUUACUGGGCGUAAAGCGCACGCAGGCGGUUGAUUAAGUCAGAUGUGAAAUCCCCGAGCUUAACUUGGGAACUGCAUUUGAAACUGGUCAGCUAGAGUCUUGUAGAGGGGGGUAGAAUUCCAGGUGUAGCGGUGAAAUGCGUAGAGAUCUGGAGGAAUACCGGUGGCGAAGGCGGCCCCCCUGGACAAAGACUGACGCUCAGGUGCGAAAAGCGUGGGGGAGCAAACAGGAUUAGAUACCCUGGUAGUCCACGCUGUAAACGAUGUCGACUUGGAGGUUGUGCCCUUGAGGCGUGGCUUCCGGAGCUAACGCGUUAAGUCGACCGCCUGGGGAGUACGGCCGCAAGGUUAAAACUCAAAUGAAUUGACGGGGGCCCGCACAAGCGGUGGAGCAUGUGGUUUAAUUCGAUGCAACGCGAAGAACCUUACCUACUCUUGACAUCCAGAGAAUUUAGCAGAGAUA
rnacentral:rRNA from 1 species